GAAUUACAUAUAAUUGUUUCUCGAAAAUAUUUUGGAAUAACGGAUAUUUUCACUUGCACCUGUAUUCGGGAGUGCUCUCAUAUAUUGUAAGACGGGGAGUGGAGUGCUUAAUGGAUGAUGUACUAUUAACAAUGCUUGAGGCUGUUUCUACAGGGCUAGAAUUUCUCGUUGUCCUUGAGUGAGAUUUGGAUUCUGAAUUAUAAUUCUGAUCAUCUACAAAAAAAAAAAACAUGACUUGUUCUCACACAUUUUGUUACAUGUGCUGUUUCGGAAUCUACACUCGGAGCGGUGGUGGUUGUCUCUUCUGCAACUGAAACAUCUACCAUGCGACAAGGCAUUAAUAUUAAUGUAAACCAAUGUAUCUUGGAGAACGUCUGCAGACUCCCAUGCAGUGGCUACAUUUACAAGUCAUAGCUAAUGAGUUCUCAUACAUACGGGAGGAGCACAAGCUCCAAUCACGCAACAUGUUGUGGUAAAAAACAUCAUUUUUAAUGAUAAAUUCAACUUGGUGAACUCAUAUGAACUUUGCACAAUUGUUAGUGGUUGUAAUUUUAUAUCAACAUCACGUGCUUUGCUUUUUUAAGCAACUCUUCCAUUUCGGUAUCAUAUUUCAAAACCGAAAAAAUGUAUACAUUUCAAAAUCAAAGUAAAUUAUUUAUUAAAGGUUUUUCUAACUUAAAUGUUCAGAAUAUUAUCAAACUGAUGAAUUCGUUCUUCAAAAAUUAAGUAUCAACUUCAGUUCCUGUUUGUACCAAAUCAUUAUACAGUAAGUUUCAUACAAAUAAUUAAUUCAUAUCAAAUAUUAUUCUUCGAUUAAUCUUUGGAUACUAAUGCCAUUAAUUCAUAAAGUCAGAAGAGUCGAGUGUAUUUGCGCAAUGAGUCAAAUGGAUUGGAGUCGUAUAAUAUAAAUGUUUGGAUUCAGAGCCAAGAUCACAAUAUAUUAUUCCAAACUGAAACUAUUAAUUAAGAAUAAUUUAUUUUUAGAU
rnacentral:lncRNA from 1 species